CCUACGGGUGGCAGCAGUGAGGAAUAUUGGUCAAUGGCCGGAAGGCUGAACCAGCCAUGCCGCGUGAAGGACAGUGCCCUAUGGGCGUUAAACUUCUUUUGUGCGGGAGCAAUAAUGGUCACGUGUGGCCAGACGAGAGUACCGUACGAAUAAGCAUCGGCUAACUCCGUGCCAGCAGCCGCGGGUAUACGGGGGAUGCAAGCGUUAACCGGAUUUAUUGGGGUUAAAGGGGGCGUAGGCUGUGAGGUAAGUCAGCGGUGAAAUGCCCCCGCUCAACGGGGUGAAGUGCCAUUGAUACUGCCUUGCUGGAGUGCGGAUGAGGUGGGAGGAAUGUGUGGUGUAGCGGUGAAAUGCUUAGAUAUCACACAGAACACCGAUUGCGAAGGCAUCUCACGAAUCCGCGAUUGACGCUGAUGCACGAAAGCGUGGGUAUCAAACAGGAUUAGAUACCCUUGUAGUC
rnacentral:rRNA from 1 species